CCCUACGGGGGGCAGCAGUGGGGGAUAUUGCACAAUGGGGGGAACCCUGAUGCAGCGACGCCGCGGGGGUGAAGGAGCGUUUCGGCGCGUAAAGCCCUAUCGGCAGGGAAGGAGAUGACGGUACCUGACCAAGAAGCCCCGGCUAACUACGAGCCAGCAGCCGGGGUAAUACGUAGGGGGCAAGCGUUAUCCGGAUUUACUGGGUGUAAAGGGGGCGGAGCGGGCAAUGCAAGCCAGGAGUGAAAGCCAGAGGCCCAACCCCGG
rnacentral:rRNA from 1 species